rnacentral:rRNA from 1 species
CCACCCUGAACGAGCCUGAUCUCGUCUGAUCUCGGAAGCUAAGCAGGGUCGGGCCUGGUUAGUACUUGGAUGGGAGAAUUAAAGAAAGCUCAU